rnacentral:rRNA from 1 species
UACGUAGGGUGCGAGCGUUAAUCGGAAUUACUGGGCGUAAAGCGUGCGCAGGCGGUUUUGUAAGACAGAUGUGAAAUCCCCGGGCUUAACCUGGGAACUGCAUUUGUGACUGCAAGACUAGAGUGCGGCAGAGGGGGGUAGAAUUCCACGUGUAGCAGUGAAAUGCGUAGAUAUGUGGAGGAAUACCGAUGGCGAAGGCAGCCCCCUGGGAUAACACUGACGCUCAUGUACGAAAGCGUGGGUAGCAAACAGG